CCUGUCCAGAGAGCCAUUUCUUGUGCAACACGGGACUGUGUGUGCAGAAGACUCGACUCUGCGAUGGCCUGGAUGACUGCCAGGAUGAGAGUGACGAAGUCUUCUGCUGCCCACGAUGAGCUGUGGUGCCAAUAGUCCCCUGCAUCCUCUGCUAGUAUGCAAUGGAGAGACAGAUUGCACGGAUGGAGUCGAUGAGCUCAACUGUACUCAGGAAACAACCUGCUCUGCAAUCAGAUAUCAGUGCAAAAGCGGCUCCUGCAUCCUGAAAAAGAACGCAAAGUGUGACGGAGUCGAUGACUGUCGGGAUCGCAGUGAUGAGGCCGACUGUGAACAUCCAGUUCUGCGAGGAUGAAGCUGCAAUCACCCUGCCAAGUAGGAAACAUUUUACACAAUAAAGAGGUUUCCUACUCGGAAGGAAACCCCGACAGAGAUUUUCUGAUUUUGACUUCUUGUUAAUUAAAUUUGUUUGCGUUUUAGUAACAUUAUCACAUCUAAUACUGGAAAUACAAACAGUUUUGUGGUAGGAAUUUGUUCCUGGAUUAUCCUUGGAGUGGCCAAUUCAGUGCCUGAAUAAUAAUAGUAUAAUUAAUAAGCUUAAAACAUUUUAUACUUA
ensembl:lncRNA